rnacentral:rRNA from 1 species
UACAGAGGUCUCAAGCGUUUGUUCGGAUUCAUUGGGCGUAAAGGGUGUGUAGGUGGCGCGCUAAGUCGGGUGUGAAAUUUCGGAGCUUAGCUCCGAAACUGCAUUCGAUACUGGCGUGCUUGAGGACUGGAGAGGAGACUGGAAUUCAUGGUGUAGCAGUGAAAUGCGUAGAGAUCAUGAGGAAGACCAGUGGCGAAGGCGGGUCUCUGGACAGUUCCUGACACUGAGACACGAAGGCCAGGGGAGCAAACGGG